CUUUCCAGAGAGGGACCUUGUAAGGCUGACUUUGGAAUAUGACUGCAUUCUGAUGGAGAGAUUUCCAGUUUAAGAUGCCAUACUGAACAUAUACACUGAUCUCUUUGCCUUUGGAAACUCCAUUAAGCUGAUUGUAAAGGAGGAAAAGGAUUCUCACAUGACAAUGAAGAGACUGAAGAAGUAUCAUCAAUGGAUAAAGCAGAAUAGAAAUAGCAGCCGCCUGGACCAUACCUAGAAAGGAAUCAUUUUGCCUGGCAGAAGCAUGAAACAGUUCCAUAUUUGAGAUGGCAUUUACCACUGAGGGUUGGAGGGCGGUGGCACGGUAUUGGCUCACUGCAACCUCCGUCUCCCAGGUUCAAGUGAUUCUCCUGCCUCAGCCUCCCAAGUAGCUGGGACUACAGGCAAGCACCACCAUGCCCAG
rnacentral:lncRNA from 1 species